UACAUGGGGUGCAAACGUUGCUCGGAAUUAUUGGGCGUAAAGCGCGCGUAGGCGGUUACUUAAGUCGGAUGUGAAAGCCCUCGGCUUAACUGAGGAAGUGCACCCGAAACUGAGUAGCUGGAGUACGAAAGAGGGUCGCGGAAUUCCCGGUGUAGAGGUGAAAUUCGUAGAUAUCGGGAGGAACACCGGUGGCGAAGGCGGUUCUCUGGGCCUUACCUGACGCUGAGGAGCGAAAGCGUGGGGAGCGAACAGG
rnacentral:rRNA from 1 species